CAACCCCAAUAAAUUCUCUCACCGAAGUUCGAACCCACAAAAGCCCAAUCUUCUUCUUCCUCACCGAACCCAUCCAAUUUCCUCACUCAACUCACAAAGCCCUCUUCUUCUCACCGAACCUACCCAAUUUCCUCACCUGCCACCAGCCAAACACUCUCUCCUCCUCCCACCACCCAAUUUUCUCCCAUCACACAAACUCUCUCUCUUCUUCUUGUAGACGGCAACUCACCCAAUUUCCUCAGUCCCACCACCCAAACUCUCGCCGAUUACGACCUGCAGGGACCUAAAAUUUUCUUUUGCGAAUUUCAGUCCCCCAGCUCGGCGAGAUCACUGUAUUGAAGCAGUAGGACGGUUCCGAUUCCAAGAAGCCUCUGCUCAUGGCCAUGAAGAUUCUGAUUUUACGACGUGUAACAGAGCAGCUCUAGCCGCAGGCGCUUGAAGGCGACAUGGCCCUGAUCGACAGUCUCUUCCGCCACAGUUCCGGCUGACGGAUUGGAUUCCGAAGCUCCGACAAUUCCGACUGAGAAAGAGGUCAAUAACAACAAGGAUCAGCUUGCAAAAGAACAGAGCAGAGCACAAGCAUUAUCAAUUUAUUUGCUGAAGUUUUGCAGCUGUCUGCACGUCUCCAACAAGCCACACCAAGCAUACAAUGGGCUUGCUCACCUAAGUGGAGGGCUUCUCAGGUAACUCAACAGCAUCCUUUGCUUCGACGAUGUCUUCGCCCUCAUCAUCAAAAUCAAAAUGAUAAUAUUCAGGCUGGAUUGUGAUGUUGGGGAUGUGAGAAAUCUUGGGCCACUCCUUUCCUCUGCCUUUUCGGCAACCUCGUGCAAGAUUACCAGAGCAGUUGAUGACAAGUGUCUGAAGUGGUGUUUUCCGCAAGAAGUCUGGCAGUGUUUUUAGUUGACUGCAGUACCCAAUCUGUAAAGAAGAAAGGCAUGGCAUUAUGAAACUCAACUCCAACCUUUUUUACUCCUUUCAUACUCAUAACGAUCAACCUUUCGAGGGACGGCAAUAUUCCCAAAGGAGGUAAAACUUCACAUUCAUUCCAAUCUGCAAGAUGAAGAAAUCUCAAAUUGUUGAAUGACAUGAUCCAGUUGGGGGCAGUGCUUCCAUUAUAGCCAUUGAUUCCUAAAUAUUCCAAAUUUGGAUGCGGUCGUAAGAAAUUCAGUGUUUCUGCACUUCUUCCACAAUCAGAAAAAUAUAUACUCAAAUUUGAGAGUUGUUGUUUGUUCAGUACUGGUCCUGGUCCAAGCCGCAAGUUGAUGUCAAGAGCUUCCCAGAUGCACUGAUCAAUCCACUCGCUGCAAACAGCGAAGGCAUGUACAUUGUUGUCGGAGGCUCAUCGGGGAAUAUCUACUUAAUGGGAGGUUAACUUUCCUAAUCAUUUUUUUUUUUUGUCUCUUUGAAUUGAUCUUUUUUUGAGCUCUGAAAUGCUGAUGGACAUUUUACGGAGCACACUCUUUUAGUCCCUCAAUAUCUAUUACAUGUCUUUUGCCUAUUAUUUACUGAUGCAUUCGUAUUCAUCCCCAAUAAACAAAAAAGCACUGCAUUCUUGAAAUUGCAUGUGUUUUGUAAUUUUCAUUUGCAUGUAAAUUUCUUAGGUUUGGAGCGUAGGAAGAGGGAGAUUAUUUAGAAAUAUUGUUUUCCCUACUAUAAUUGAUGCGAUUGCUCUAGAUCCUGGUGAUAAUGUCUUCUUUGCCAGUGGUAGAGAUGGCAAGAUAUAUAGGUUGCUGCAUUUAAUGCCGUGAGCCUACUUAACAGCAAGUAUGGCUUGCAUAUCAUCGAUUGUUUCUCAAAUCACAGGUUUCUUGAAUUUCCUAUAGUAUUUACAUAAAAUUUGCACUGUACUCUGCAGGUCCAGUGAAUUAACAUUUUAGUCGUUUGACAGCAUUUUUCUGAGAAAUAUAUAGGAAGUUGUAUUAAGAUCACCUUUUGUGUUGUAUUCUUGGUUCUGACUUGUACCGGAGACCUCAAACAAGUCUGGAGCUUUUUGCAUUAUACUUGAAAAGGUCAACGAAACAUGCAUGCAUAAACACAACACCCCAAUUAAUUUGAGAUUACCUGUUUCCGCACUCUUCCUUUUCGAUGAUUUUCAAUAAUUUUGUGACUAUAAAUUGUUACUUUCUUGCAUAUAGUUUUGGGAUUAAAAAUAAAAUAAAACUAGAGCAUUGCAAAUCACGAUACUGGGAGUUACAAGUCCAUUGCAAAUCACAAUAUUGGUGCACCUAGUGCUGAGAGCCCACUUAACAGCAAGAAUGGAUUGCAUAUCAUCGAUUGUUUCUUGAAUCACAGGUUUCUCUCUUUUCCUAUAGGCAACCUUUUGAGUUUUCUUCGGUUAACACUUGUCUAAUUUUUAAAUUUGUAUUUUUCGUUUUUCAAAGUAUAAUUGCCCAAGAUUGUUGCACGUUUUAAGAACCCUGCAUUCUACCUUUAGUUAUGACAGGCCUUGCGUUCUGGCGAACCGAAUCUGAGGAACAUUCAUUUUAGUAUAUUUUGAAUGAGCAAAACUCAUUUAACUCACAACUUUAUACUUUAGACUUUUGAACAGCAAAGUUGUUACUUGCUUAGCAUAUGGCAUUUCUGGAAAUGAUUUGAUUUCUAGAUUAGAAGAUGGCGUGGUUCGAGUUUGGGAUGCUAGAACUCAUAAUAUUCUUCGCGUGUUCAAACAUGCAAAAGGUUAUCUCAAUUCUAUUUGAAUUAUUUCCUUCCCCGGGUGUAUGCAUAUUUGAUGAUAUUGAAGCAAAUUUAGCUGUAUUUGAUUAGCACUAUUUCAUAAUACAUGUAUGCAUAAACUAAACACCCCAAUUAAUUUUGAGAUUACCUUUUCGAUGAUUUUUGCACCCAGCCAAAGUCAGCUCCAAUGUAAUGGUUUCGGUUUAUUUCAGGCAGCAUUGUUUGUACUCGGGACCUGUAACUAGUAGCAGCUAAGUCUCAAAUUCAGAGAUUUUAAAAAUAAAAUAAAACUAGAGCAUUGGGAGAGGAGGAAUCGUACCCCGGGACCUGGAAUAUGGUCUUAACCGAGUUACAAGUCCCUUGCAACAUUAUAUAUGCAGUUAUGCUUGUCUAGUUGGAAUCUUGUCUAGUUGGAUUGAUGUAAAAUGAAUAGACUGAGUUGGUAAAUAAAUAGAAAAGAGCUUAA